rnacentral:rRNA from 1 species
GACGAACGCUGGCGGCGUGCUUAACACAUGCAAGUCGAACGAGAUCCAUGAGGUGGUAACACCUCGGAAGAUCUAGUGGCGAACGGGUGAGUAACACGUGAGGAACUUGCCCCAGACUCCGGGAUAAGCCGAGGAAACUUGGUCUAAUACCGGAUAUUCUCUCGAGGCCGCAUGGCCACUUGAGGAAAGUUUUUCGGUCGUGGGAGAGUCUCGCGGCCUAUCAGCUAGUUGGUGAGGAACGGCCCACCAAGGCUACGACGGGUAGCUGGUUUGAGAGAACGAUCAGCCACACUGGAACUGAGACACGGUCCAGACUCCUACGGGAGGCAGCAGUGGGGAAUCUUGCGCAAUGGGCGAAAGCCUGGCGCAGCAACGCCGCGUGCGGGAUGACGGCCCUUUGGGUUGUAAACCGCUUUCAGCAGGGACGAAAAUGACGGUACCUGCAGAAGAAGCCCCGGCUAACUACGUGCCAGCCGCCGCCGUAAC